rnacentral:misc_RNA from 1 species
GCCUUGCGCAGCUUCUUGAUCAAAGCCAUAGGCUUCCUCUUCAAACCCCUCUGGAACCUUCUGCGAGGACGAGCAGGGUAAAGCUUAACAAGCUCAUCAGUAGACAUGUCAAGAAGAGAAUCCAGAUCUACUCCUCUGUAGCUGAACUUCUUGAAUGUUCUCUUCCUUGGCUGUCCGGUCGCAACAUCAGCUUCAACUUCCGCCAUGGCUUCGAGAAUGAAUUGGCUUCUAAGCUCCUAUGGAAGUGACUGCGGCUAGGGUUUUGGGGACGACG